rnacentral:misc_RNA from 1 species
GAUGAAGAACGCAGCGAAAUGCGAUAAGUAAUGUGAAUUGCAGAAUUCAGUGAAUCAUCGAAUCUUUGAACGCACAUUGCGCCCCCUGGUAUUCCGGGGGGCAUGCCUGUCCGAGCGUCAUUACAACCCUCAAGCUUAGCUUGGUGUUGGGCCCCGCCGCCCCGGCGGGCCCUAAAGUCAGUGGCGGUGCCGUCCGGCUCCGAGCGUAGUAAUUCUUCUCGCUCUGGAGGUCCGGUCGUGUGCUCGCCAGCAACCCCCAAUUUUUUUCAGGUUGACCUCGGAUCAGGUAGGGAUACCCGCUGAACUUAAGCAUAUCAAUAAGCGGAGGA